UGGAAGGCUGUUGGGGCUCAGGCCUUUGGCUACCUGAGAGAGCAGGUCAUUCCCAGCCUAGAGGGACCAGAAUAGAAGAUCAUCCAGUACAAGAACAAGAUGGGUUGAACUGUGAUCACCCCCCAGGCCAUGCUGAUGGGCUGCAGUGCAACAACUGAGAUCCAAAGGCCAGAGCUGCAACAGCUUUUCACGGGAAGAGUAUUGAUGUUUACUGGAUGGCACUUGGGUCUAGCUGAGCAAUCCCACUACUCUUGGGGCACCCCUGUGAGAAAAGCCUGAGCAGCAGGGGUUUUGCGUGGUUUGUGGUGCUGACUUAUUUCUUUCAUGUUGAAACUGAGGGCCCCAUCAAACUCGGAGUGAAAUCGAUGCCAGCGAGGCCUGUAAUUAGGCCACCUGCUUACUGAGACAUCCUGCUAUUAUGAGGCUUUCCUCACUGGCUUCAAUUCCUCUGUUACAGACUGUCAGUCCCUCCCACGUUUUGUACAAAUGGUCAGGAAGAGGUAUCUCUAUAAAUGAGGUGGGAACUUGCAAGGCUUUUCCUCUGACCCUUCAUCCACUUUGGAGAAACUCCCAAAAUUGGUGGCAGGUGGUGAAGCCAGCUACAUGUUUUAGUCUGCUUCUCUCCUUCCAGCUUGAUCUGGUUGGAAAUAAAACCUGAGGGUUUGUUGACUUCAGGGAGGUUAAAUAAUCUUGCCCCAUAGGUCAGACUGGUUAAAAACAAAAAGUCUCAAGGAAAUAGUGGAGGUCUGGGGUUCAGUGUUGGUGAAAGACUGCAUCAGAAAUGAGACACAAUUGCACCUGUCUGGCAGGGAUGUUCAGUUGCCAGCAAUCUGCAGUAUUAUGGCAGUAUUUCUCAAUUCUGUCUGAAAUUUAGCAGAAAAUCUCCCAAAAAACUUAGCCUGAUUUAUAAACUUUUUCAAAGGUGAAAGAGGAGAGCAAUAGCUGCAGUGCCAUCCCAUGGCUUUCAAGAAGAUGCUGCUUCCAGGAAAGCUGGCUUGGAUCACAUGUAACUCAAAGGUUGUGCUGGCUCACACGACUGAUGGACACUGUACCUCCUCCCACCUCCUGCUUCCCCAGGACAUUCCUUUGCUCAGAUGCAAAGGCAUUUCUGCAUGCUUAAGAUGUAUCAAAUGUCCAGACCCUCCUGUCUCCAACUACUUGCAUGAGAGAAAGAAAACAGACCUUGGUGAGAUGGCAGCUUGUCCUGCACCUCACAACACUUUCAAGUCCAAACAGAAGCUGUUGCUUUCCUGUGAUGUAUAAGAAACCAAUAAUGUGCGAUGAAAACUUAAUGCCAACUGAUUUGCUGAACUUCAACGAAAACCAUCACUUCUUCAUGGCAGGUGCUUGAUAGUGAAAGGAAAAGUGUAUCACAGUUCAAUGAAGGCAGCAGUGUACAUGUAUCCUUCCAGGAGGUGUGGAUGCUUCUUCUCCUCUGCUGGAGACUUCAUGUGAGAUCCCUUGUCCCAGGGUCCCAAAUAACUCAAAACAAGUGAAGGCACUGAAAACACCACAGCAGUGGGAGUUGUGGGUGCAGCAAUCCAGACCAAGGUGCUGACAAGCGUUCCCAACACGGUGUGAAAAUAAACUCCCUGUGGAUUGUUGAAGUCCUGCAGCAUCUGUCUUCUGGCCCUUUUUUCUCUCUCGGUGAGCUGACUUGACUUUUUAAAGAGAAUGGAUUUCACCAAAGCAAAUUGAUAUUUUGUCCUGCGAUAUAAAGCUGAUUUAUGGUGGAUCACUUGAUUUAUUGCUUCCAGACAACAAACAAGUCAAAAUGUCAGUUUGUAUUUUCAUUCCUUCAAACCUGAACCACUGUGGACCCUUUGAGCUGCUGUUAAAGCCACAGGGCAAAAGCCAUCCAGGUGCAAUCCACAGCCCUCAGUGUGAGAGCAGGAGGUCGGGCUCCCAGCACACCAAUACCAAAUGCUUCUGGGGGUGCUCCUCUAUGGAGAGACAUCUUUGUUGUGUCCAAAGCUUCUGAAAUCAAAAGCUCUCCAAAAAGCCCUCUGCUAAGUGUCAGUGACAGAUGCCCAUCCUCCCCAGCGCGUGCAGGGAUAGAAUGUAGCACAGUGAUUGGGUUGGCUGGGACUUGCACAUACUGCACUGAUUCAAUGCCUGGAUUCAUGACGCUGGAGGAACACUAAUGAGUUUCCAGUGUUUGAGAUGGGAUGGAUCAUUAGAUGGUCACUGAUUUUAUUCUCUAGGAAGUAGAGCAGAAAAUUGGAUUUUUAUUUUUAUUUUCUUUUUGCCAGGCUUUGUCUAAAGAUAAGCCAUAAAUGUAGCAUUGAUCUUGGUC